rnacentral:tRNA from 1 species
GAGUAAUUAACUCAAUUGGUAGAGUAUUUUAUUUACAUUAAAAAAGUCAAAGGUUCAAGUCCUUUAUUACUCA